ACUAAAGUAGAUCAGUGGUAGAGUGCUUGUCCAGCAAACAUGAGGCCCUGGAUUCAAUCCCCAGCACUAUAA
rnacentral:tRNA from 1 species